GUGAGUAGUUCAGAGUUUGAUCCUGGCUCAGGACGAACGCUGGCGGCGUGCCUAACACAUGCAAGUCGAACGGAACUGUUAUGAUUGAUUCUUCGGAUGAUUGAAUUUCAGUUUAGUGGCGGACGGGUGAGUAACGCGUGAGUAACCUGCCUUCGAGAGGGGAAUAACGUUCUGAAAAGAUCGCUAAUACCGCAUAACAUAGUGAUGUCGCAUGGCAACGCUAUCAAAGAUUUUAUCGCUCGAAGAUGGACUCGCGUCCGAUUAGUUAGUUGGUGAGGUAACGGCUCACCAAGACCGCGAUCGGUAGCCGGACUGAGAGGUUGAUCGGCCACAUUGGGACUGAGACACGGCCCAG
rnacentral:rRNA from 1 species